rnacentral:lncRNA from 1 species
UUCAUGAAAUGCAACACGCAUUGGGAUUCUCAUCACUGAACAGCUGAGGAGGUGGGAUUCUCUCAAUCACGAAAAGAGGUUGAUAAUAGUACUGCAUCAUUCUUUUCAUCUGUUCCUCAUCCAUGCCACUAUUUACGUAACUGCCACUCAUCAUCUCUCCCACCUUCUUCCCCUCUUCUUUGUUCUCCUGGCCACCUUUCUCCUCCUCCUUAUUAUUACUUUCUCC